AUACGGAGGGGGCUAGCGUUGUUCGGAAUUACUGGGCGUAAAGCGUACGUAGGCGGACUGAUCAGUUAGGGGUGAAAUCCCAGGGCUUAACCCUGGAACUGCCUUCAAUACUGUCAGUCUUGAGUUUGGGAGAGGUGAGUGGAAUUCCUAGUGUAGAGGUGAAAUUCAUAGAUAUUAGGAGGAACACCAGUGGCGAAGGCGGCUCACUGGCCCAUUACUGACGCUGAGGUACGAAAGCGUGGGGAGCAAACAGGAUUAGAAACCCUAGUAGUCC
rnacentral:rRNA from 1 species